AAUGAGACUUUCUCCGUCGUGCAAGGCGAGGUGAGCAAUAAGUAAAUUCGGAGGGGCAGGCCGAAGACCUAAGCACUUGAAGGAAAUGAAUGAACCACCACGUCCGUUGCACGCACGCCUCGGGAAAGCGGACCAGAGCAAAAGCAUUCGCAGUGUCAAAAACGCAAAAGAGAGAGGGAGAGAAAGAAUGGCGGGGGGGAUCAUAUUUG